rnacentral:rRNA from 1 species
GACGAACGCUGGCGGCGUGCUUAACACAUGCAAGUCGAACGGAAAGGCCCUGCUUUUGUGGGGUGCUCGAGUGGCGAACGGGUGAGUAACACGUGAGUAACCUGCCCUUGACUUUGGGAUAACUUCAGGAAACUGGGGCUAAUACCGGAUAGGAGCUCCUGCUGCAUGGUGGGGGUUGGAAAGUUUCGGCGGUUGGGGAUGGACUCGCGGCUUAUCAGCUUGUUGGUGGGGUAGUGGCUUACCAAGGCUUUGACGGGUAGCCGGCCUGAGAGGGUGACCGGCCACAUUGGGACUGAGAUACGGCCCGAACUCCUACGGGAGGCAGCAGUGGGGAAUAUUGCACAAUGGGCGGAAGCCUGAUGCAGCAACGCCGCGUGCGGGAUGACGGCCUUCGGGUUGUAAACCGCUUUCGCCUGUGACGAAGCGUGAGUGACGGUAAUGGGUAAAGAAGCACCGGCUAACUCCGUG